AAAGUCAAAUAGUACGUGAAAUUGUUGAAAGGGAAACGAUUGAAGUCAGUCGUACCGAUGGACAUUCAACUCCUUCGGGUAUGAUUAUGACGGGUGUGGGAAGAUCUCACCUUGUCAUAUUUGGUAUCUCUGGGGUGUAUUUGUUCGUAUGGUAGGUUAACAUCAAUUUUGGUCGUCAUAAAAUGACGGGAGGAAUGUAGCUUUCUUUUGGAAGUGUUAUAGCCUCUGGUAGAUGUGAUGAUCGGGAUUGAGGAUUGCAAUGGAUACCCCUCGGGGCUACUUGUCUGAUCUCUGAUUGUCGCUUUGGUGUGGAAAGCGUGCUUAUAGCAUCAAAGUCUGGUGGUCAAAAGGUUAGAACGGGUUAAAUUCAUUAAGGAUGUUGACGUAAUGGCUUUAAACGA
rnacentral:misc_RNA from 1 species